rnacentral:rRNA from 1 species
AGUCAGACGAUGAAGCCCAGCUUUGCUAGGUGGAUUAGUGGCGAACCGGUGAGUAACACGUGAGUAACCUGCCCUUGACUCUGGGAUAAGCCUGGGAAACUGGGUCUAAUAGCGGAUAGGAACGUCCACCGCAUGGUGGGUGUUGGAAAGAUUUAUCGGUCAUGGAUGGACUCGCGGCCUAUGAGCUGUUGGUGAGGUAAUUGGCUCACCAAGGCGACGACGGGUAGCCGGCCUGAGAGGGUGACCGGCCACACUGGGACUGAGACACGGCCCAGACUCCUACGGGAGGCAGCAGUGGGGAAUAUUGCACAAUGGGCGAAAGCCUGAUGCAGCGACGCCGCGUGAGGGAUGACGGCCUUCGGGUUGUAAACCUCUUUCAGUAGGGAAGAAGCGAAAGUGACGGUACCUGCAGAAGAAGCACCGGCUAACUACGUGCCAGCAGCCGCGGUAAUACGUAGGGUGCGAGCGUUAUCCGGAAUUAUUGGGCGUAAAGAGCUCGUAGGCGGUUUGUCGCGUCUGUCGUGAAAGUCCGGGGCUUAACCCCGGAUCUGCGGUGGGUACGGGCAGACUAGAGUGCAGUAGGGGAGACUGGAAUUCCUGGUGUAGCGGUGGAAUGCGCAGAUAUCAGGAGGAACACCGAUGGCGAAGGCAGGUCUCUGGGCUGUAACUGACGCUGAGGAGCGAAAGCAUGGGGAGCGAACAGGAUUAGAUACCCUGGUAGUCCAUGCCGUAAACGUUGGGCACUAGGUGUGGGGACCAUUCCACGGUUUCCGCGCCGCAGCUAACGCAUUAAGUGCCCCGCCUGGGGAGUACGGCCGCAAGGCUUAAACUCAAAGGAAUUGACGGGGGCCCGCACAAGCGGCGGAGCAUGCGGAUUAAUUCGAUGCAACGCGAAGAACCUUACCAAGGCUUGACAUGUUCUCGAUCGCCGUAGAGAUACGGUUUCCCCUUUGGGGCGGGAUCACAGGUGGUGCAUGGUUGUCGUCAGCUCGUGUCGUGAGAUGUUGGGUUAAGUCCCGCAACGAGCGCAACCCUCGUUCGAUGUUGCCAGCACGUAAUGGUGGGGACUCAUGGGAGACUGCCGGGGUCAACUCGGAGGAAGGUGGGGACGACGUCAAAUCAUCAUGCCCCUUAUGUCUUGGGCUUCACGCAUGCUACAAUGGCCGGUACAAUGGGUUGCGAUACUGUGAGGUGGAGCUAAUCCCAAAAAGCCGGUCUCAGUUCGGAUUGGGGUCUGCAACUCGAGCCCAAUGAAGUCGGAGUCGCUAGUAAUCGCAGAUCAGCAACGCUGCGGUGAAUACGUUCCCGGGCCUUUGUACACACCGGCCGUCAAGUCACGAAAGUCCCUAACACCCGAAGCCG